rnacentral:lncRNA from 1 species
UUGUCCUUUCUGUGUUCAUUUCUCAUGUUGGAAAUGAGAAUGGAAUUUUGUCCAAAUAAACCCAAGUACCUAGAAGAUGACUGCUUUGAGGUAGAGUGGUGAAUGGAUAAAACCAGCUCCAUUUUUGUGACAGGAAGGAUUUGUGACAAUUUUUUUCUGCUUUCUUAUUAGCUAUUAUUAUUAUUAUUAUUAUUGGAUGCUGCAAGUAUUCCAAACUGUUGUACGAGAUGUGAAAGCAGGGUUGCUUCUACCCUGUAGACUUAAAUAACCCUCAAAUCAACAAAUGAGAUUUUUUUUCAAGUGCUUGCUACUACAAAUAAGUACAAAAUAGAAUAUCAUAUUAUGAAAAUAUUUUGUUUAUAGGCCAAGGUUGCAAUUAAGAAGGACUUCUAACAGUAUUUCUAUAAUACCUCUGAUAAUGACAAAGGUCCACUGAACAGAAAACCUACAGUAAUGAACUACCCUUUUUAUUUUGAUACUGCUAUUAUCCUAAGUUAGGGCCAGUUUGAGUGCAGCAGACUGAAUACAUCUGGAUUCUCUCUUCCUUAUCUGAUUACUUUUGUAUGAAAAUCUCUUUAACUGAAUAUCUCUGACUUAAUAGUAUUCAACCUGCACACAAACACUGAAGACUUCACUUUCUUUCCUGCCAUUUUCUUGGUUUUCAUGACUUCUACUUCUCUUAUAGACCCUUAGCCUAUUUUGUGUUGUGGAACCUUUAACAAUCAGGUGAAGUCUAUGGACUCUUCAGAAUAAUCUUAAAUAUAUAAAAUAAACAAUUACAUUGAAUACAGUUAUAAAAAUAUUAAAAGAAAAUAAAUUCAUGGGCUUGAGGUUAAUUGGACUCUAGUUGCUGGUCCUGGUAUCUGGCCAUGGUGGCCCAUUCUUGUAAUCCUUUCUACUGGGGAAUCUAAAGCCUAGUGUCUUACUUGUGUUGUAGAAUUCUGAGUGGAAGUAGAUUAGCUAAUUCAGCUGCUUGUCUACCUCUACUGUCCCUUCAUCCCCACCCCAUGAUGGGUAAUCUACUUCUUGUUAUUGAGUCAGUUCAGCUGUGUUCAACUCUUCACGACUCCACUGGAGUUAUCCAACAAAUACUGGAACAGCAAACAGAGUAAAGUGACUUGACCAGAUCACAUAACUAGUAAUUGAGGCCAGAUUUGAACUCAGGAAGAGGUGUCUUUCUGACUCCAGAUUCUCACUCUAGCUACUGCUCCACCUAAAGGCCCUGCCAAUCUACCUAAGGAGGGCCAAACGAGCCCAUGUCAGAAAAAUGGAACAAGUUACAGGCCCGGAUGCUGAUCAGCAAGAUCAACAUGGUCAACAUGGAGACACAAUCUAACAACACCACUACCAUAAAACCCUUGUAUACCAGGAUAAUACUAGAAUAAAGAAUUAUCCUCUCUUUUCUUUCCUGUGAGUUUUUUAAGACAACAUAUAAUGAACAGUUGGAAG